UACGUAGGUGGCAAGCGUUGUCCGGAUUUACUGGGUGUAAAGGGCGUGCAGCCGGGCUGACAAGUCAGAUGUGAAAUCCCGCGGCUCAGCCGCGGAACUGCAUUUGAAACUGUCAGUCUUGAGUACCGGAGAGGUCAUCGGAAUUCCUUGUGUAGCGGUGAAAUGCGUAGAUAUAAGGAAGAACACCAGUGGCGAAGGCGGAUGACUGGACGGCAACUGACGGUGAGGCGCGAAAGCGUGGGGAGCAAACAGG
rnacentral:rRNA from 1 species